CCUACGGGAGGCAGCAGUGGGGAAUAUUGCACAAUGGGGGAAACCCUGAUGCAGCGACGCCGCGUGAGUGAAGAAGUAUUUCGGUACGUAAAGCUCUAUCAGCAGGGAAGAAAAUGACGGUACCUGACUAAGAAGCCCCGGCUAACUACGUGCCAGCAGCCGCGGUAAUACGUAGGGGGCAAGCGUUAUCCGGAUUUACUGGGUGUAAAGGGAGCGUAGACGGUGCAGCAAGUCUGAUGUGAAAGGUCGGGGCCCAACCCCGGGACUGCAUUGGAAACUGUUGAACUGGAGUACAGGAGAGGUAAGCGGAAUUCCUAGUGUAGCGGUGAAAUGCGUAGAUAUCAGGAGGAACACCGGCGGCGAAGGCGGCCUGCUGGACUGAAACUGACGUUGAGGCUCGAAAGCGUGGGGAGCAAACAGGAUUAGAUACCCCGGUAGUC
rnacentral:rRNA from 1 species